GAUGAACGCUGGCGGCGUGCCUAAUACAUGCAAGUCGAGCGAACGGACGAGAAGCUUGCUUCUCUGAUGUUAGCGGCGGACGGGUGAGUAACACGUGGAUAACCUACCUAUAAGACUGGGAUAACUUCGGGAAACCGGAGCUAAUACCGGAUAAUAUUUUGAACCGCAUGGUUCAAAAGUGAAAGACGGUCUUGCUGUCACUUAUAGAUGGAUCCGCGCUGCAUUAGCUAGUUGGUAAGGUAACGGCUUACCAAGGCAACGAUGCAUAGCCGACCUGAGAGGUUGAUCGGCCACACUGGAACUGAGACACGGUCCAGACUCCUACGGGAGGCAGCAGUAGGGAAUCUUCCGCAAUGGGCGAAAGCCUGACGGAGCAACGCCGCGUGAGUGAUGAAGGUCUUCGGAUCGUAAAACUCUGUUAUUAGGGAAAAACAUAUGUGUAAGUAACUGUGCACAUCUUGACGGUACCUAAUCAGAAAGCCACGGCUAACUACGUG
rnacentral:rRNA from 1 species